UGUCGUUGUGUUGGGACAUGGGGCCACUGCCAGGCUACCCCGGGAUCGAUCCCGUGCGGCGUCUGAGCAAACCGCCGACUAGCCGGGGCCGCCGGCCGCCGGCGCUGGCUACCCCGGCCACAGCGUCCUCCUUCCUCCUUCCUCCUCCCUCCUCCCUCCUCCUCCGCAUGGCCGCUUCCCGUCCCUCCUCUCCCGUCCUUCGCACCGGAUCGAUCCACCAACGUUCAUAAGCUGCCAUCGGUUGUCUUCCCCAGCCUUUCUCGCUCGCGCCGCCAAAUGCUACUCCGCUCGCCCCUCCCCGCCCCGCCCCUCCCCUGCCCGCCUGGAGGAGAGCCGCCUCGCAUCUGUUGUCGCUGCUGCCCGCUGAGGAGGUGCACGCCACCUGUUCGACCCUUGGUCCGUGCUUUUCCAGCCUUCCUCCGUCGACUCGGCAGGUGCUGCGCCGCAUCGCACCGGAUGCCCUUAUUCCGGUUCAUAGUCUGCACCUCCUACGCCGUGCCCAGCGUCUUCGGUUCUAGGAGCUAUCGAGCAGGUGCCCUCCACAUGGGAGGAGCUGCUUCCUGGUGGUGCGGUGAGCCUUCAGCUUGUCCCUGCACAGAGGCCGGGUGAGCCUGGCUUGUGCCAUCAGGGUCAGCACCGGCUUUGGGGCGGCGCAAGUUCUGCUACGGUUUCUUGUCCGCGUCGACUCCACCAAUGCUGCACCGUGAACUGCCACCCUGUAUCGCCAAUUUGCUGGGGAACUUAGCUGCUUCGAUUCACCCUCUAAAAUGUCUCCUCGGUGUCUUGCAGUGCUGAAAAUGCUUCUUUGAUUGCGGUGACUUCAAUGUAAACGUCUUGGAUUGCUGAACGGUCUUUAGGCGUCUCUGCAGCGCAUAGCGGGCCAAGCUUAACGAGAGUGGUGAUGCAGCUCAUUGUUUCUGCAGCCAUUUGAUGAUUUUCUUGGUCUAAAGUACUCCCUGCUUCUUCAUCUUGGUUCCCACAAAAGGGAUUGAUGACUCAAGAUUUGGAAAUCACAAAUACCAGAAUAAACUGGGAAUGUGUACAAGAACCUGAAGAGGAAGAUUGGAAGGGGCAUUUACUUUCCCAACAUGCUUAUCUGUGACCAACACUUGUCAUAUUAUCCCCGCUUGCCACUGAUUAUGCAGUCCUACUAGAAAAUGAGAUGCGAAUUGUCAUAUUGACGGCUUUAUUUUUGUGGUGGCUCAUACACAUGGCCGGUUACUCGAAGAGCAAAGACAGCAGCACAAGUUGCAAUGAGGCUUGUUAGACCUGGAAAGAAG